rnacentral:rRNA from 1 species
CCGCAAGGUCUGUUACUGACUGGUUUGUUCUUCUUCGCAAAGACUGCGCGUGCUCUUCAUUGGGUGCGCGUAGGAUUUACGACGUUUACUUUGAAAAAAUUAGAGUGUUCAAAGCAGGCUAUCGCUUGAAUACAUGAGCAUGGAAUAAUGGAAUAGGACUUUGGUUCUAUUUUGUUGGUUUCUAGGACCGAAGUAAUGAUUAAGAGGGACAAUUGGGGGCAUCCGUAUUUCGUUGUCAGAGGUGAAAUUCUUGGAUUUACGAAAGACGAACAACUGCGAAAGCACUUGCCAAGAGUGUUUUCAUUAAUCAAGAACGAAAGUUAGAGGAUCGAAAACGGUCAGAUACCGUCCUAGUUCUAACCAUAAACGAUGUCGACUAGGGAUCAGCGGGCGUUAUUGUACGACCUCGUUGGCACCUUACGGGAAACCAAAGUUUUUGGAUUCCGGGGGAAGUAUGGUUGCAAAGCUGAAACUUAAAGGAAUUGACGGAAGGGCACCACCAGGAGU